rnacentral:rRNA from 1 species
GAACGGAGUUGUUAUUCAGAAGUUCUUCGGGAUGGAAGGAUAAGAACUUAGUGGCGGACGGGUGAGUAACGCGUGGGUAACCUGCCCUUUUGUGGGGAACAACUUCGAGAAAUCGGAGCUAAUACCGCAUAAUAAUAGAGGAUCGCAUGAUUCUUUAAGGAAAGAUGGCCUCUGAAGAUGCUAUCGCAAAAGGAUGGACCCGCGUCUGAUUAGCUAGUUGGAAGGGUAACGGCCUACCAAGGCAACGAUCAGUAGCCGGCCUGAGAGGGUGAACGGCCACAUUGGGACUGAGACACGGCCCAAACUCCUACGGGAGGCAGCAGUGGGGAAUCUUCCGCAAUGGGCGAAAGCCUGACGGAGCAAUGCCGCGUGAGUGAAGAAGGCCUUCGGGUUGUAAAACUCUGUCCUUAUCGAAGAGAGGUAGGUAUGUGAAUAAUGUACCUAUAGGACGGUAGAUAAGGAGGAAGCCCCGGCUAACUACGUGCCAGCAGCCGCGGUAAUACGUAGGGGGCGAGCGUUGUCCGGAAUCACUGGGCGUAAAGGGCGCGUAGGCGGUUUAAUAAGUCAGUGGUGAAAACUGAGGGCUCAACCCUCAGCCUGCCACUGAUACUGUUAGACUUGAGUAUGGAAGAGGAGAAUGGAAUUCCUAGUGUAGCGGUGAAAGGGGGAGACCUGGGGGGAACACCAGUGGCGAAGGCGAUUCUCGGGCCAAGACUGACGCUGAGGCGCGAAAGCGUGGGGAGCAAACAGGAUUAGAUACCCUGGUAGUCCACGCCGUAAACGAUGGAUACUAGGUGUUAGUAGUUUCGAUGCUACUAGUGCCGGAGUAAACACAAUAAGUAUCCCGCCUGGGGAGUACGGUCGCAAGACUGAAACUCAAAGGAAUUGACGGGGGCCCGCACAAGCGGUGGAGCAUGUGGUUUAAUUCGACGCAACGCGAAGAACCUUACCAAGACUUGACAUCCUCCUGACAAGAUAUGUAAUGUAUCUCUUUUCUUCGGAGACAGGAGAGACAGGUGGUGCAUGGUUGUCGUCAGCUCGUGUCGUGAGAUGUUGGGUUAAGUCCCGCAACGAGCGCAACCCUUAUUUCUAGUUGCCAGCAGUAAGAUGGGGACUCUAGAGAGACUGCCAGUGACAAACUGGAGGAAGGUGGGGAUGACGUCAAAUCAUCAUGCCCCUUAUGUCUUGGGCUACACACGUGCUACAAUGGUCAGAACAGAGGGAAGCGAAGCCGCGAGGUGGAGCAAAUCCCAGAAAACUGAUCUCAGUUCGGAUUGCAGGCUGCAACCCGCCUGCAUGAAGUCGGAAUCGCUAGU